UUCAGAGAUUGUUCAUAGUACACGAAGAAAAUUUAUCAUGAAUCUCUCAGUAGCCGUUGCUGUAUUUGUCGUUCUUGCCUUGGUCUUGCAGUCAGAAGCGGGCAAAUUUGGAAAGAGAGUUUUCACUUCUGGAUCGCGACCACAUAAUUACAGAAGGAAGCAUGUGGAAGAAUCUGAAAGUAAAGCGGGCAAAUUUGGAUGGAGAGUUUUCACUUAUGGAUCGCGACCACAUGGUUGCAGAAAGAAGCAUGUGGAAGAAUCUGAAAGUAUAAAUGAAGAACCUGUUGUAGAUGUUACAAUACAGCCUCUUGAAGUUACAGAAGCUCCUAUAGAAGUUACAGAAGCUCCUAUAGAAGUUACAGAAUCUCCUGUAGAAGUUACAGAAGUUCCUGUAGAAGUUACAGAAGUUCCUGUAGAAGUUACAGAAGCUCCUGUAGAAGUUACAGAAGCUCCUGUAGAAGUUACAGAAGCUCCUACAGAAGUUACAGAAGCUCCUACAACAGCAAAAACGGUAAUCCGCGUCGAUCCAAUCUGUGAUGGUUUUAUGGGUACUUGUCGUGACACCUGUCAGGCUGGUGAAACAGAAUUUGGUGCCUGUGAGGCCGGUGAUAGUUGCUGUGUUCCAGAAAUGUGAAUAACUGAAUGAAUCGUACAUCGGAAGCAUGCAAAAAAUCAAGAAAUCUAAAGACCUUUAACUCCAGAACACUAAAUUUAUUCUUUUUGUGUGUGGGUGAUAUUAGAAGGGAGUCUGUGCAACAUCAACCAAUUCCCCCCCCCCCCCGAAUCACAUAUUCCAAACUAGAAUUAUUAUAAACAAAA